rnacentral:rRNA from 1 species
GACGAACGCUGGCGGCGUGCUUAACACAUGCAAGUCGUACGCUGAAGCCUGCUUCGGUGGGUGGAUGAGUGGCGAACGGGUGAGUAACACGUGGGUAAUCUGCCUUGUACUCUGGGAUAAGCCCGGGAAACUGGGUCUAAUACCGGAUAGGACCAUUCCUCGCAUGGGGGGUGGUGGAAAGCUCCGGCGGUAUGAGUUGAGCCCGCGGCCUAUCAGCUUGUUGGUGGGGUGAUGGCCGACCAAGGCGGUGACGGGUAGCCGGCCUGGGAGGGGGGCCGGCCACACUGGGACUGAGACACGGCCCAGACUCCUACGGGAGGCAGCAGUGGGGAAUAUUGCACAAUGGGCGCAAGCCUGAUGCAGCGACGCCGCGUGAGGGAUGACGGCCUUCGGGUUGUAAACCUCUUUCGCCAGGGACGAAGGGUGAUACUGACGGUACCUGGAGAAGAAGCACCGGCUAACUACGUGCCAGCCGCCGCCGUAACUC